rnacentral:rRNA from 1 species
GCCAAAAACUAGCCUGCACAACACACCAUAAAUCACUUCACACAAACUAAACCAUUUACCAAAUCCAGUAUAUGAGAUAGAACUUUAAACACAGCGCAAUAGCCCAAAUCGUACCACAAGGGAACCAUGAAAGACUAAUUAAUAACCACAAGCACAGCACAGCAGGGCUAAAGCCCCGUACCUCCUGCAUCAUGGUUUAGCCAGCAGCUCGCCGACAAAGUGCCCUGUGUCCGCCAC